UGACCCACUGGCAAUGGGAAAAGGGACAUCACACUGGUGCUGUUGUUCUUCUAUCAGUGGGGGGCAAAGCAGAUAGUGUCCUUUGUUCAUCCUAACUUGAUGCCUGGCUUGGUGGCCAAAGUUGUUUCAUGCCUAGGGCAAAUAA